AUAUAUAAAGUAAUUUUUUUUUCUUAUAACUGAAUAUCACUAAAUUGUAAUUGUAACAGAGAUACAAGAACCCAAGAUCUCUCAAAUUUUGAGGAGACCAAACAUACAAAGAUCGUCAUUAUUCAAGAUUAUAUUGUCUUGAAUUUAACAAACAACAGCUCAGAAAUUUAGCAAAAACUUCGACAUGAGUUUUCACCGCGUUGCAGAAACACACCAAACAGAGGAAAAAAAGUGAGCUUUUUCUCCAGCUCGAAAGAUGGAGGCUGAGGAGAUGUGACAUGGAUUUUAGGAAAUAAAUGAUAUGGUCAGCAUACAAGGAGAGAAUACCAAGCAGAUCCAUUUCUGCAGGCUAUUUUUUUUCUUUCACGGUGGCUGAAAAAACUUCGGGAUCAGCAUAAAAGAUCCACCGGAGGAGAGGUGUUCGGAGGAGGGAAACAUGCGACGGGAUGGUGGCUUCCGGGGAAAAAGCUUGUGUAGGUGGUUAGAAGGAACACAACGGUGAGAGGUGGAGGCUCAAUCUGAAAAAAUAAAUACAGAUACUUUGUGAGUUGUGGGGAUGGAGAAAUCAAAAGUCUGUAGUGUAUAUAUAUAUUUUUUUUUUGUAACACAGUCUGUAGUGUAUACAUAAACCUAGAAUAAUAGAUACAAUUUACUUCAAAAGGAUUAAAACCUUCUGAAAGAUCAAGAUUUUUGGGAAGAGCACAGAAAAAAAAACAGUAGAAAAUAUUAAGAUAUAUAUUUUGAAAAACGUCACGAUUGGAGGAAGAGUAAAAAUUGUUUCAGAUUAGCAAAAAACGUUAAAGAGGAACCACAUCGUGGUGGUCUAGUGGUUUCUUUGUUGGUCCAGGCCAGGGAUCGAUUACUCUCUAAUGCGAAAUUAUUAGCUCCACAUGUGGCCAUGCGGAUAUGGGUCCAUGCUUACGGCCCAUUUGAAUACCCGGGAGAGGAUCCAUCCGUGGAUUGCACUUUCCAUCCGGGAGUUAGGUCUAUGUCUUUAAUAGACCCGGAUUUAACUCUUUUCAGUUACAAAAAAACGUUAAAGAUAAAUAGAAAUAAAUACGUAAUAGAUAGGUCAUAUAUUUUGUCAGAUGAGUAGGAUGUUAGUGUAGUUGUAGGGGCAUCUCGGUGAUUAUCAAAAAUUGUACAGUUCAUUUCCAUAUAACUAAUUUAGGUUAUAUUUGUAGUCAUCUGGUGCGAAUACCCUAAAUAUUAAUAUGUAACUAAUUUUGGAUAUUUUCAAAUUUUAUUACAGGUUUUGGUUCGGAUUGGAUUGUACUUCACAUUUUAAAGUACUAAGCUCUUAAAUCACUUUGGAUAUUUUUGUAUAACAGUUCCAUUAAAUUUCAGUUUUUCAAUUCAGAAAUUUUAAUUUGGGGUAAAAACGCCCAGAUGACAAAAUGAGGAGGAGGACUUCGAUUUCUCUCAGUCGAACCAUUUUUUCCAAAACGACAAAAUGACUUGGGCCAAGAGGCAUUAAUCUACUUGUAUAUAUAAUAUAAUCUUACAAGACUUUUUUUUUUCGACAAUCUUAUAAGACUAUAUAUUUAUAGAGUUAUCGUCUUUACCUACUUCCUUCGACUAAAAUUUUAAGUAAAUAAAAACCUUAUCCUUUCUCUCUCUUCUGCCAUUGCUAUUCAUACUAUUCUACGACUAUGAUUUGAUUUGAGGAUCGGACCAAGAAGUUUAUGAGACAGAACCUCAGAAGCCAAGAUCUUCAAACCGUGAUAUCCGACCAAACCGGUAAGAAAGCCCUGAUCUGGUGAUCUGAAGAUACGGUGAUGGCAGGAGGAGGACCAACUUUCUCAAUCGAGUUGUCUGAACACGGAAGCGAUCUGCCAACGACGGAGAAGGCUUCCUCCUUCUCCUCUUCCGGUGAUAUGACAAACGAAGAAGGAGCCGGUUUAAGUCGUGUCGGAAGCGGAAUCUGGUCAGGACGGACGGUGGAUUACUCGUCGGAGAGUUCAUCAUCGAUCGGAACUCCUGGAGACAGCGAGGAAGACGAAGAAAGUGAAGAAGACAACGAUGAGGAGCUAGGGUUGGCUUCAAUGAGAUCUCUAGAAGAUUCUCUCCCAAGCAAGUAAGUUCAUUUUCAUUUUUUAAAUGUUAUCUUCUUGAAACCAAAAAAAAACUAAUUAGAGUUCUUGAUUUUAAAUCAAGAAGAGGUUUAUCGAGUCACUACAAAGGUAAAUCAAAAUCGUUUGGUAACUUAGGGGAGAUCGGGAGUGUGAAAGAAGUACCGAAGCAAGAGAAUCCAUUGAAUAAGAAAAGAAGGUUACAGAUCUACAACAAGCUGGCGAGAAAGUCGUUCUACUCAUGGCAGAACCCUAAGUCUAUGCCUCUUUUGCCUGUUCAUGAAGACAACGAUGAUGAGGAAGGAGACGAUG
rnacentral:lncRNA from 1 species